CUACGGGGGGCUGCAGUAAGGAAUAUUGGUCAAUGGACGAAAGUCUGGACCAGCCAUGCCGCGUGGAGGAUGAAGGUCCUCUGGAUUGUAAACUUCUUUUAUAUGGGACGAAAAAAGGUUUUUCUAGACCGACUGACGGUACCAUAUGAAUAAGCACCGGCUAACUCCGUGCCAGCAGCCGCGGUAAUACGGAGGGUGCAAGCGUUAUCCGGAUUCACCGGGUUUAAAGGGUGCGUAGGUGGGUUGGUAAGUCAGUGGUGAAAUCUCUGAGCUUAACUCGGAAACUGCCAUUGAUACUAUUAAUCUUGAAUAUUGUGGAGGUCAGCGGAAUAUGUCAUGUAGCGGUGAAAUGCUUAGAUAUGACAUAGAACACCAAUUGCGAAGGCAGCUGGCUACACAUAUAUUGACACUGAGGCACGAAAGCGUGGGGAUCAAACAGGAUUAGAUACCCCUGUAGUC
rnacentral:rRNA from 1 species